rnacentral:rRNA from 1 species
UACGGAGGGGGCUAGCGUUGUUCGGAAUUACUGGGCGUAAAGCGCACGUAGGCGGCUUUGUAAGUUAGGGGUGAAAGCCUGGAGCUCAACUUCAGAAUUGCCCUUAAGACUGCAUCGCUUGAAUCCAGGAGAGGUGAGUGGAAUUCCGAGUGUAGAGGUGAAAUUCGUAGAUAUUCGGAAGAACACCAGUGGCGAAGGCGGCUCACUGGACUGGUAUUGACGCUGAGGUGCGAAAGCGUGGGGAGCAAACAGG